rnacentral:rRNA from 1 species
GAUGAACGCUGGCGGCGUGCCUAAUACAUGCAAGUCGAGCGAACGGAUGAGAAGCUUGCUUCUCUGAUGUUAGCGGCGGACGGGUGAGUAACACGUGGAUAACCUACCUAUAAGACUGGGAUAACUUCGGGAAACCGGAGCUAAUACCGGAUAAUAUUUUGAACCGCAUGGUUCAAAAGUGAAAGACGGUCUUGCUGUCACUUAUAGAUGGAUCCGCGCUGCAUUAGCUAGUUGGUAAGGUAACGGCUUACCAAGGCAACGAUGCAUAGCCGACCUGAGAGGGUGAUCGGCCACACUGGAACUGAGACACGGUCCAGACUCCUACGGGAGGCAGCAGUAGGGAAUCUUCCGCAAUGGGCGAAAGCCUGACGGAGCAACGCCGCGUGAGUGAUGAAGGUCUUCGGAUCGUAAAACUCUGUUAUUAGGGAAGAACAUAUGUGUAAGUAACUGUGCACAUCUUGACGGUACCUAAGCAGAAAGCCACGGCUAACUACGU